UGGGGAAUUUUGGACAAUGGGCGGAAGCCUGAUCCAGCCAUGCCGCGUGCGGGAAGAAGGCCUUCGGGUUGUAAACCGCUUUUGUCAGGGAAGAAACGCUCCGAGCUAAUACCCUGGAGUAAUGACGGUAACUGAAGAAUAAGCACCGGCUAACUACGUGCCAGCAGCCGCGGUAAUACGUAGGGUGCAAGCGUUAAUCGGAAUUACUGGGCGUAAAGCGUGCGCAGGCGGCUUUGCAAGACAGAUGUGAAAUCCCCGGGCUUAACCUGGGAACUGCAUUUGUGGCUGCAUGGCUGGAGUGCGGCAGAGGGGGAUGGAAUUCCGCGUGUAGCAGUGAAAUGCGUAGAUAUGUGGAGGAACACCGAUGGCGAAGGCAGCCCCCUGGGUCAAGACUGACGCUCAUGCACGAAAGCGUGGGGAGCAAAC
rnacentral:rRNA from 1 species